rnacentral:lncRNA from 1 species
GGUGGCAUGAUUGUCUAUCAUUACUUGACAAUAUGGCAUUGAAGUCUCCUGCAAUUAUCCAAGGAUCAUUUAUACCUGCAGCCAGAUUCUGAAUAUUCUUCCACAUUGUUCCCCUCUGAUCACUGUCAUUUGAUCCAUAUACCACUGUGAGAUAGCAGAGAAGUUCUCCACUAAGAUUCCUGACAUUGCAAUGGAUGAGUUGAGCCUCCUCCUGUACUCCAGAGAUCAAAUACUUAGUAGGAUCCUAUAGGAUCCAUAUUCUUCCAUUUACUGCUCUAUUGUAGUUAGUAAUUAUACUCCAGUUAGGCAACAAAAACUAGCUAUUCUAUCUGCAUUUUUUUGUUUAACCUUUGUCUCUACAAGACCAAAAAGGUCAAAUUUAUUGGUUUUAAAGUAUUCUUUAGCUUCCUUCUGUUUGUACCUUUUAUUUACN